AACGCUAGCUACAGGCUUAACACAUGCAAGUCGAGGGGCAGCAUGAUUGAAGCUUGCUUCAAUUGAUGGCGACCGGCGCACGGGUGAGUAACACGUAUCCAACCUUCCGUACACUCAGGGAUAGCCUUUCGAAAGAAAGAUUAAUACCUGAUGGUAUCUUAAGCACACAUGUAAUUAAGAUUAAAGAUUUAUCGGUGUACGAUGGGGAUGCGUUCCAUUAGGUAGUAGGCGGGGUAACGGCCCACCUAGCCUACGAUGGAUAGGGGUUCUGAGAGGAAGGUCCCCCACAUUGGAACUGAGACACGGUCCAAACUCCUACGGGAGGCAGCAGUGAGGAAUGUUGGUCAAUGGACGAGAGUCUGAACCAGCCAAGUAGCGUGAAGGAUGAAGGUCCUACGGAUUGUAAACUUCUUUUAUAAGGGAAUAAAACCUCCCACGUGUGGGAGCUUGUAUGUACCUUAUGAAUAAGCAUCGGCUAACUCCGUGCCAGCAGCCGCGGUAAUACGGAGGAUGCGAGCGUUAUCCGGAUUUAUUGGGUUUAAAGGGAGCGCAGACGGGUCGUUAAGUCAGCUGUGAAAGUUUGGGGCUCAACCUUAAAAUUGCAGUUGAUACUGGCGUCCUUGAGUGCGGUUGAGGUGUGCGGAAUUCGUGGUGUAGCGGUGAAAUGCUUAGAUAUCACGAAGAACUCCGAUUG
rnacentral:rRNA from 1 species